AGCGAACGCUGGCGGCAGGCCUAACACAUGCAAGUCGAACGGACCCUUCGGGGUUAGUGGCGGACGGGUGAGUAACACGUGGGAACGUGCCUUUAGGUUCGGAAUAGCUCCUGGGAACGGGUGGUAAUGCCGAAUGUGCCCUUCGGGGGAAAGAUUUAUCGCCUUUAGAGCGGCCCGCGUCUGAUUAGCUAGUUGGUGAGGUAAUGGCUCACCAAGGCGACGAUCAGUAGCUGGUCUGAGAGGAUGACCAGCCACAUUGGGACUGAAGACACGGCCCAAACUCCUACGGGAGGCAGCAGUGGGGAAUCUUGCGCAAUGGGCGAAAGCCUGACGCAGCCAUGCCGCGUGGAUGAUGAAGGUCUUAGGAUUGUAAAAUCCUUUCACCGGUGAAGAUAAUGACUGUAGCCGGAGAAGAAGCCCCGGCUAACUUCGUGCCAGCAGCCGCGGUAACAC
rnacentral:rRNA from 1 species